GUCCUAAGUAUAGCAUCUAUACGGUGAACUGCGAAUGGCUCAUUAAAUCAGUUAUCGUUUAUUUGAUAGUACCUUACUACUUGGAUAACCGUGGUAAUUCUAGAGCUAAUACAUGCUAAAAACCCCGACUUCGGAAGGGGUGUAUUUAUUAGAUAAAAAACCAAUGCCCUUCGGGGCUCCUUGGUGAUUCAUAAUAACUUAACGAAUCGCAUGGCCUUGUGCCGGCGAUGGUUCAUUCAAAUUUCUGCCCUAUCAACUUUCGAUGGUAGGAUAGUGGCCUACCAUGGUUUCAACGGGUAACGGGGAAUUAGGGUUCUAUUCCGGAGAGGGAGCCUGAGAAACGGCUACCACAUCCAAGGAAGGCAGCAGGCGCGCAAAUUACCCAAUCCCGACACGGGGAGGUAGUGACAAUAAAUACUGAUACAGGGCUCUUUUGGGUCUUGUAAUUGGAAUGAGUACAAUUUAAAUCCCUUAACGAGGAACAAUUGGAGGGCAAGUCUGGUGCCAGCAGCCGCGGUAAUUCCAGCUCCAAUAGCGUAUAUUAAAGUUGUUGCAGUUAAAAAGCUCGUAGUUGAACCUUGGGCCUGGCUGGCCGGUCCGCCUCACCGCGUGCACUGGUCCGGCCGGGUCUUUCCUUCUGGGGAGCCGCAUGCCCUUCACUGGGUGUGUCGGGGAACCAGGACUUUUACUUUGAAAAAAUUAGAGUGUUCAAGCAGGCCUAUGCUCGAAUACAUUAGCAUGGAAUAAUAGAAUAGGACGUGUGGUUCUAUUUUGUUGGUUUCUAGGACCGCCGUAAUGAUUAAUAGGGAUAGUCGGGGGCAUCAGUAUUCAAUUGUCAGAGGUGAAAUUCUUGGAUUAUUGAAGACUAACUACUGCGAAAGCAUUGCCAAGGAUGUUUCAUU
rnacentral:rRNA from 1 species